AUUCUACAAACUCCAACGAUGGGGAACAACCUGUCCUGCAAAAGCCCGAUAGUUCUCAGCACUGUUACCCUGUUAUGUUUCCUGCUUAUAUCACUCAAUUCCUACCAUUUUCCGUUCCAUUUUGGCCCAGAGGGCACAGUACAGAGGCAGCUAAAAUGGAGGAGACACAUGAAGUGCUUAAGCCCACAGCAGUACAUUCAAAG
rnacentral:misc_RNA from 1 species